rnacentral:rRNA from 1 species
UACGUAGGCAGCGGGCGUUGUUCGGAGUUACUGGGCGUAAAGGGUUCGUAGGUGGCUCGCUAAGUCAGACGUGAAAUCCCUCAGCUUAACCGGGGAACUGCGUCUGAUACUGGAUGGCUUGAGAUUGGGAGAGGGAUGCGGAAUUCCAGGUGUAGCGGUGAAAUGCGUAGAUAUCUGGAGGAACACCGGUGGCGAAGGCGGCAUCCUGGACCAACACUGACGCUGAGGAGCGAAAGCCAGGGGAGCAAACGGG